AGUGUAUAGUGAUAACAUUUUUCAACGGCAUUUUACAAUACAUCCUUGUGGCAAUGGUACAGUGUUUCGUUUCAGUCGACAUUCAUGCUUUUGUUAUAAGUGGUGAGUAAUGCCCUGUUUUUGGUACCCAGUAGGCUGGGCACGCUCUCUGGCGUGUGCUAAGUGGUGUCCCCCGGGCACCUGGGGGGUAGCCCCCCACCU